rnacentral:rRNA from 1 species
AGCGUACACGGUGGAUGCCCUGGCAGUCAGAGGCGAUGAAGGACGUGCUAAUCUGCGAAAAGCGUCGGUAAGGUGAUAUGAACCGUUAUAACCGGCGAUGUCCGAAUGGGGAAACCCAGUGUGAUUCGUCACACUAUCGUUAACUGAAUACAUAGGUUAACGAGGCGAACCGGGGGAACUGAAACAUCUAAGUACCCCGAGGAAAAGAAAUCAACCGAGAUUCCCCCAGUAGCGGCGAGCGAACGGGGAGCAGCCCAGAGUCUGAAUCAGCUUGUGUGUUAGUGGAACGGUCUGGAAAGUCCGACGGUACAGGGUGAUAGUCCCGUACACCAAAAUGCACAGGCUGUGAACUCGAAGAGUAGGGCGGGACACGUGGUAUCCUGUCUGAAUAUGGGGGGACCAUCCUCCAAGGCUAAAUACUCCUGACUGACCGAUAGUGAACCAGUACCGUGAGGGAAAGGCGAAAAGAACCCCGGCGAGGGGAGUGAAAAAGAACCUGAAACCGUGUACGUACAAGCAGUGGGAGCACCUUCGGGUGUGACUGCGUACCUUUUGUAUAAUGGGUCAGCGACUUAUAUUCUGUAGCAAGGUUAACCGUAUAGGGGAGCCGCAGGGAAACCGAGUCUUAACUGGGCGUUAAGUUGCAGGGUAUAGACCCGAAACCCGGUGAUCUAGCCAUGGGCAGGUUGAAGGUUGGGUAACACUAACUGGAGGACCGAACCGACUAAUGUUGAAAAAUUAGCGGAUGACUUGUGGCUGGGGGUGAAAGGCCAAUCAAACCGGGAGAUAGCUGGUUCUCCCCGAAAGCUAUUUAGGUAGCGCCUCGUGAAUUCAUCUUCGGGGGUAGAGCACUGUUUCGGCUAGGGGGUCAUCCCGACUUACCAACCCGAUGCAAACUACGAAUACCGAAGAAUGUUAUCACGGGAGACACACGGCGGGUGCUAACGUCCGUCGUGAAGAGGGAAACAACCCAGACCGCCAGCUAAGGUCCCAAAGUCAUGGUUAAGUGGGAAACGAUGUGGGAAGGCACAGACAGCCAGGAUGUUGGCUUAGAAGCAGCCAUCAUUUAAAGAAAGCGUAAUAGCUCACUGGUCGAGUCGGCCUGCGCGGAAGAUGUAACGGGGCUAAACCAUGCACCGAAGCUGCGGCAGCGACACUAUGUGUUGUUGGGUAGGGGAGCGUUCUGUAAGCCUGCGAAGGUGUGCUGUGAGGCAUGCUGGAGGUAUCAGAAGUGCGAAUGCUGACAUAAGUAACGAUAAAGCGGGUGAAAAGCCCGCUCGCCGGAAGACCAAGGGUUCCUGUCCAACGUUAAUCGGGGCAGGGUGAGUCGACCCCUAAGGCGAGGCCGAAAGGCGUAGUCGAUGGGAAACAGGUUAAUAUUCCUGUACUUGGUGUUACUGCGAAGGGGGGACGGAGAAGGCUAUGUUAGCCGGGCGACGGUUGUCCCGGUUUAAGCAUGUAGGCUGGUUGUCCAGGCAAAUCCGGAUAAUCAAGGCUGAGGUGUGAUGACGAGGCACUACGGUGCUGAAGUAACAAAUGCCCUGCUUCCAGGAAAAGCCUCUAAGCAUCAGGUAACAUUAAAUCGUACCCCAAACCGACACAGGUGGUCAGGUAGAGAAUACCAAGGCGCUUGAGAGAACUCGGGUGAAGGAACUAGGCAAAAUGGUGCCGUAACUUCGGGAGAAGGCACGCUGGUGUGUAGGUGAAGUCCCUGCGGAUGGAGCUGAGACCAGUCGAAGAUACCAGCUGGCUGCAACUGUUUAUUAAAAACACAGCACUGUGCAAACACGAAAGUGGACGUAUACGGUGUGACGCCUGCCCGGUGCCGGAAGGUUAAUUGAUGGGGUUAUCCGUAAGGAGAAGCUCUUGAUCGAAGCCCCGGUAAACGGCGGCCGUAACUAUAACGGUCCUAAGGUAGCGAAAUUCCUUGUCGGGUAAGUUCCGACCUGCACGAAUGGCGUAAUGAUGGCCAGGCUGUCUCCACCCGAGACUCAGUGAAAUUGAACUCGCUGUGAAGAUGCAGUGUACCCGCGGCAAGACGGAAAGACCCCGUGAACCUUUACUAUAGCUUGACACUGAACAUUGAGCCUUGAUGUGUAGGAUAGGUGGGAGGCUUUGAAGCGUGGACGCCAGUCUGCGUGGAGCCAACCUUGAAAUACCACCCUUUAAUGUUUGAUGUUCUAACGUUGGCCCCUGACCGGGGUUGCGGACAGUGUCUGGUGGGUAGUUUGACUGGGGCGGUCUCCUCCCAAAGCGUAACGGAGGAGCACGAAGGUUAGCUAAUCCUGGUCGGACAUCAGGAGGUUAGUGCAAUGGCAUAAGCUAGCUUGACUGCGAGCGUGACGGCGCGAGCAGGUGCGAAAGCAGGUCAUAGUGAUCCGGUGGUUCUGAAUGGAAGGGCCAUCGCUCAACGGAUAAAAGGUACUCCGGGGAUAACAGGCUGAUACCGCCCAAGAGUUCAUAUCGACGGCGGUGUUUGGCACCUCGAUGUCGGCUCAUCACAUCCUGGGGCUGAAGUAGGUCCCAAGGGUAUGGCUGUUCGCCAUUUAAAGUGGUACGCGAGCUGGGUUUAGAACGUCGUGAGACAGUUCGGUCCCUAUCUGCCGUGGGCGCUGGAGAAUUGAGGGGGGCUGCUCCUAGUACGAGAGGACCGGAGUGGACGCAUCACUGGUGUUCGGGUUGUCAUGCCAAUGGCACUGCCCGGUAGCUAAAUGCGGAAGAGAUAAGUGCUGAAAGCAUCUAAGCACGAAACUUGCCCCGAGAUGAGUUCU